ACGCUGGCGGCGUGCCUAACACAUGCAAGUCGUGCGAGAAAGUUCCCUUCGGGGAGCGAGUAGAGCGGCGCACGGGUGAGUAACGCGUGGGUAAUCUGCCCGAAAGCCUGGGAUAACAGUGGGAAACCGCUGCUAAUACCGGAUGAUCUUCAUGUUUGACUUCAUGGGGUAAAGGUGGCCUCUGCUUGCAAGCUACCGCUUUUGGAUGAGCCCGCGUCUCAUUAGCUAGUUGGCGGGGUAACGGCCCACCAAGGCGACGAUGAGUAGCUGGUCUGAGAGGAUGAUCAGCCACACUGGGACUGGAACACGGCCCAGACUCCUACGGGAGGCAGCAGUGGGGAAUAUUGCGCAAUGGGCGAAAGCCUGACGCAGCGACGCCGCGUGAGGGAAGAAGGCUUUCGGGUCGUAAACCUCUGUCAGGAGGGAAGAAACCCUUGGGGUCCAAUAGGCCCCUUGGCUGACGGUACCUCCAGAGGAAGCACCGGCUAACUCCGUGCCAGCAGCCGCGGUAAUACGGAGGGUGCGAGCGUUAAUCGGAAUCACUGGGCGUAAAGCGCGCGUAGGCGGCGGCACAAGUCAGAUGUGAAAGCCCUCGGCUCAACCGAGGAAUUGCAUUUGAAACUGUGCUGCUGGAGUAUCGGAGAGGGUGGCGGAAUUCCAGGUGUAGGGGUGAAAUCCGUAGAUAUCUGGAGGAACACCAGUGGCGAAAGCGGCCACCUGGACUAAGACUGACACUGAGUGCGAAAGCGUGG
rnacentral:rRNA from 1 species